rnacentral:rRNA from 1 species
UACGUAGGUGGCAAGCGUUGUCCGGAAUUAUUGGGCGUAAAGCGCGCGCAGGUGGUUCCUUAAGUCUGAUGUGAAAGCCCACGGCUCAACCGUGGAGGGUCAUUGGAAACUGGGGAACUUGAGUGCAGAAGAGGAAAGUGGAAUUCCAAGUGUAGCGGUGAAAUGCGUAGAGAUUUGGAGGAACACCAGUGGCGAAGGCGACUACCUGGCCUGUUCUUGACGCUGAGGCGCGAAAGCUAGGGGAGCAAACGGG